AUAUUAUUAAGUGGAGGAAAAGAAACCAAAAGGGAUUCCCCCAGUAGCGGCGAGCGAAAAGGGACCGGCCCAAAGCCGAAUCCCGCGUCCUCCGGGCGUCGGGAAAUGUGGCGUAUGGGAGUCGGAACUUUCGCGCGGGGAGGCGACUCAAGUCCCCAUGAACGGGGCUAUGACCGAAGCGGGUGUGAGUCCCGUACAGUCGCCCUCCCAGCGCGCGAGUCUCCGCUCUCCCGGGAGUCGGGUUGCUUGAAAGUGCAGCCCAAAGUGGGUGGUAUGCUCCACCUAAGGCUAAAUAUUCCCGAGAGACCGAUAGCAAAAAAGUACCCUGAGGGAAAGUUGAAAAGAACUUUGAAGAGAGAGUUCAAUAGUACGUGAAACCGCUUAGAGGUAAACGGGUGGGCCCUCGAAGUCUGAGGACGGACCGGUUCAGCUCUUGAGAGGCCGGGAAGGGCCGGGGGACGCCGCGCACGCAGACGACCUGCGUCGCCGCCCCCGCUCGACCCGGCCGCUCGGGCGCAAUCCUGGUUCGGCCGGUAAGAGGCCGCGACGGGUUGGCCGAAGGUCGGAAGGACGGCCCGCCGGAAAGGUGGCCCGCCGACGCCCUCGCGGCGGCCGGCGGGUGUUACAGCCGGCAUCACGGGCAGUAUAGCCGACCUUCGCGCCGACUCAGGACGAGAGAACCUCGCACGACCGCUUCCCCAGGACGGCCUUCGGGCGGCGACCUGCCCCGCGCUUCGCACCCCCCGGGUGGGUCGCGCGGUCGGCAGAUUUGUCGGUCGCCCCGUCGGUCGAGGGGGAGCCCGGGGUCWGCGGCCAGUAGAUCGGGUCCCACCCGACCCGUCUUG
rnacentral:rRNA from 1 species